UUGUCAGAAUAGAAGAGACCCAAAGAUAAAGUGCCCUUAAGAUAUCUGAGGACAUGUAGGGUAGCAGUCAUAUGAGGGACUCUGGGACAUUUCAAAAAUUGACUCAGAUGCUGAACAGCAAAACAGAUGUCAGGCCUAGUGUGAGUCAAAAAUAGGAGCUUACCAACAAGGCUCCUAUAUUGAUCAGGGGAGGAUAAAAGAUCACCAGAAUCAGCAUGGAGUUUGACAUUAAUAUCCAAAGGACAAACAACAGGAGAAACAUUUAUACAGUCAAACUGAUGCAGCAGGUCAGAAACAAAUCAGCAUGAAGUUUGACAUUAAUAUCCAAAGGACAAACAACAGGAGAAACAUUUAUACAGUCAAACUAAUGCAGCAGGUCAGAAACAUAUUUAUGCUGAUUAAGGAUCAUCCCACCGGAACAACUGACAUCUCUAUGCCCAAAAAAUAAUGCAAAGACCCCAGGUCUUUAAUCCUGAAC
rnacentral:lncRNA from 1 species